GCCAUAUUUUCAUAUUGGUGUUGGUUGCAACUGUGUUCCGAAUAUUUUCGUUUUUAUGAUCAGAAUUUCUGUAAGUACCGAAGUAGUUUAACGAUUCAAUAAAGAAAGACUCGAGGGAACAGUUGGGUGAUAUUUUUAUCGAAAUUUGACCGCACGUGUAACCGUACGGAGAAAAAUCAAAAGCUCAAAUCAUGUCUAUGAAAUGCGAGUAUUGUAACAAGAUGUUUUUAAAGAAAAGAAAUUUGGUGCAACACAAAAGAACACACACUGGAGGCCAAUAUUAUAAAUGCGAUAUUCGCAACAAAAGAUGUUCAAACUCGAGCAAGUUAGCGGUUAGCCGAACACACACUAGAGACAAACCUUAUGAAUGUGAUGUUUGCAACAAAAAAUUUUCACAUCCGAGUAGUUUAACUCGACAUAAAAGAACACACACUGGAGACAAACCUUAUGAAUGUGAUGUUUGCAACAAACGAUUUUCACAGUUGAGCCACUUAGUGCUUCAUAAAAGAACACACACUGGAGACAAACCUUAUGAAUGUGAUGUUUGCAACAAAAAAUUUUCAGAUCUGAGUAGUUUAACUCGGCAUAAAAGAACACACACUGGAGACAAACCUUAUGAAUGUGAUGUUUGCAACAAACGAUUUUCACAGUUGAGCCACUUAGUGCUUCAUAAAAGAACACACACUGGAGACAAACCUUAUGAAUGUGAUGUUUGCAACAAAAAAUUUUCAGAUCUGAGUAGUUUAACUCGGCAUAAAAGAACACACACUGGAGACAAACCUUAUGAAUGUGAUGUUUGCAACAAACGAUUUUCACAGUUGAGCCACUUAGUGCUUCAUAAAAGAACACACACUGGAGACAAACCUUAUGAAUGUGAUGUUUGCAACAAAAAAUUUUCAGAUCUGAGUAGUUUAACUCGGCAUAAAAGAACACACACUGGAGACAAACCUUAUGAAUGUGAUGUUUGCAACAAACGAUUUUCACAGUUGAGCCACUUAGUGCUUCAUAAAAGAACACACACUGGAGACAAACCUUAUGAAUGUGAUGUUUGCAACAAAAAAUUUUCAGAUCUGAGUAGUUUAACUCGGCAUAAAAGAACACACACUGGAGACAAACCUUAUGAAUGUGAUGUUUGCAACAAACGAUUUUCACAGUUGAGCCACUUAGUGCUUCAUAAAAGAACACACACUGGAGACAAACCUUAUGAAUGUGA